GGAAAUGUCAUAACAACAGAGGCUCCAUCAGGGCUUACUGGUAGCCCACUACUGGAAAUCACAUGUCCCAAAUAUUUAACUUGAGAGAGAGAAAAUUGCAAUUUAUCUCUGGACAAUCUUUGUCCCUUAAAGCAAGCUGUUGUGACAAGUGGACAAUGUCUUCUCUGCCUGUUGUCAAGGAGGAUGAAAGUGACAAAUCAUCCACAUAUUGACCAGGAUAGUUCUGCUAGAAAAUUUGAUAUCAUGUAAAUGUCUUUUUAAUAUUUGAGAAAAGUAAGUAGGACACUUGGAAUAUCCUGAAGCAAGAUUGUCCAUGUGUACUGGUGAUUUUCUCAAGCAAAGGCAAAAAGAUAUUGGCUGUUCUGCUCUACAGGCGCAUCAGUGGAAGGGACUUGCCUUGUCUCAGAAGAAACUGCACUUUCGAGUGAUGCCGAAACAGGUUGAGACUUUUGGGGGACUAUUGAGAAGGGAUGAUUGUAUUUUGCAAUGUGAGAAGGACAUGAGAUUUGAAGGGCCAGGGAUGGAAUGAAAUAGUUUGGAUGUUGUACCCUUUAAGUCACAUGUUGAAUUGUAAUUCCCAGUGUUGGAGUUGGGGUCUGGUGGGAGGUGAUGGGGUCAUGAGGGCUGAUUUCUCAUGUUUAGUACCAUCCUCUUGGCACUGUCCUUGCAAGAGUGAGUGAGUUCUCAUGACAUCUGGCUGUUUAAAAGUGUGUGGCACCUCUCCCUGCUUGCUCCUGCUCUGGCCAUGUGACAUACCUUCUUUUGCUUCACCUUCUGCCAUGUGUAAAACCUCCCUGAGGACCCUUCUUGAAGCCAAGCAACUGCCAAUGCAAAGCUUCCUGUACAGCCUGCAGAACUGUGAGCCAAGUCAACCUUUCUUUUCUGUAUAAAUUAUGUAGUGCUUAGGUAUUCCUCUAUAGUAAUGCAAGAAUGUCAUAAUACAAGGCAUAAUGGCUUGCAUUUUAAAAAUGAAAAUUAGAUUUAUGUAAUUUAUCAUGAAAAGAUGAAAUGAGUUAAUAAUGAGCAAUAUCUACAUGUUGUCUUAGAGGUGCUGACAAUCUGUCAAGGAAUUACAUGCAUUAAUCAAGCAGUUUACCUUCAAGUUGAAUAACAAGAUAUUCCUAUCUAACAUAACAAAAUUUUGACAUUAUUUGGGAGACUGGAAAUAAUGCUACAUAAUAUCAGAUUGUCAAAGCCAAAUAAAUGUAGAGACAAACAUCUGAAAUUAAAAUGUUUUAUUUGAGAUACAAGUAUUACAAUUUGACAGAUACAUGCAGAAUGGGUGUCUUUAGUAUGUCCGAAACAUAAAGAGAAAGUUAGAGGUUUUAUAAAAAGGGAGACAGAGAGAAAAACGGUAUGUAUUUCUCUUUGAGAAAGUUCACUGGCACCAGUAAGGUUUUUGAGAGCUGGCAGGCUCUGAUAGGUGAGGGACAGUGGUGGGUAAAACUAGUCUUAGUGUUGCAAGAGGUUGUUUCAGUAACCAUUCGAUAAAACUGGUUUCAGCUUAAAGCAGGUAAUUUCAGCAGCCAGGCAUGCAGAGAAUUACGUGCUUGGAGUGGUGUUUUUGCCCUGAAUGCCUCCUCCCCCUGGCUUCUUGAUGGUUUUAUUUGGUGUGACAAGAAUGACCCAAUUCAUAUGAUCAAUUUUUACAUUUACCCCUUUCCAUCAAGAUCUUUCUCUUAAAGCAUCAACCAUGUUUAUAGUUGUACAACGACUACAAGUUAGGCUUAAUCAUCCCUUAGUGCUAGGAUGGACCUGUCCCAGUUGCUCCGUCCCACAUCUGGGAAAGGUAUGGAGGUCUACAUCAGGUCUAUGUCAAGAUUUAUGGCUUAAAACAUCUAUCCGAGGAAAAAAAUAAAACUGACCAGUAAUCCCAGGAGAGAAACAUACCUUGGCAAAUUCGAAGAUAUUUCUAAUUUUAUUUAACAAAUUUAAACUUAAUUAAUGUAUCAAAGAUUCGCCUAACUCAUGUCAAACAAAAUAUGUUUGGGUUAAUUAAUAUAUAUUUUAUAUGAGCAUUCUUUUAUUCAAACCAUCCUUUUUUCCUAGAAUGAUGGAUUAGGGGCUUUCGGUGUGCCUCAGCCACUUGGAAGUAGAAAAAUAAGCAUAAAGAUAAACUUUGUGAGCUUCAAUUCAAGAAGAAAAAUAGGAAUUCACAGGAAUAGAGAAGAACACUCCAGACCCUGUGGAGGGGGAGGUGGGAAAGCAGCCUCUGCGAUAGCAUUUUGUUCAUAAAAGGGAGUGAAACUGCAGUACGAGAGAAGAACAUCCAGUCUCCCUCUGUGACUCACCUUUCCACUGGGGAUCUGUGCAACCCAGAUUAAGGGAGAGCAGUCUGUUUCUCCCAAGAAAGCACUUAUGUGCUUAGAGCUGGCACAAAAGUGGCUGAGAGAUGGGGAAAGAGGAAAGACACUCAGAAAAGCUGCAGGCAUUUCCGCAGACCUGGGACUGAGAGAAGGAUGCCAUUUUUAAUCUGGGCUCGUACAAAGUCAAUCAUUCUUUGGUGCCUGGCAAUGGUGGCCACUGCAGACACUUUAAUCUUGGGCUAGGAAUUGAAGUGCUUGCUCUGGAGCAGGGGAGCAGCCUCCACAGCCAGAAUUGAGUGUUGAGUGUGGAAAGUGCCCCAGCAGUAGGUGUUGGAAUUAGGCUCUCUCCUCUUGCAGGACUGUAGUGGGAAGAGAGUUGCUAAAGCAGAGGUUUCUCAGGGAUGGUGAGACUUGCAGCCAAGAACAGUUUCGCAACCUGGGACUGGUCUGUGUGUGUCAUUGCUGGGUGUCCCAGCCUGCUCCCUUGGUCAGUUGAGAGAGUACCUCAUCAGCUCCAAGAAACAGGAGGGAGGUGAACCCGUUUCCCCAGGAGACCUAAACUUUGGUGAGGACCAGUCCUAAGGGAAGGAGGAAUACAGCUUGCCGAACACAGCCCUUGAGUCAAAGGAAACAUGAUCAUGACAUCAGCUGCUGAAAGGGGCACACCAAAGCCUGGGAACAGAUGUAGAGAGGUGGUCAUCUCUUGCCCUCUGUCACCUUCCUAGUGCACUGCUGCAGACCCAGCAGUGGUCAUCCUGUUGGGGCCCAAGGAACGUGGGCUGAAAGAGGCUGCUUCUUAGGUUUCUCCAGCAGCUCUGCCCCUGCUGAAGACUAGUACACAUGGGGACAGGGUGCUUUUGGCACUUUGUCACUUCUGCACCUGUCGAGGACAAGUACACAGAGGAGAAGACCCUGCAGCCAGCUGUUACUCUUAAGCACUGUCUACUGGACUGAAGCCUGAAUUACACCACCAAACAAAGAUACAUCACCACACCAAGCCACCACAGGAGCCUAUCUACAACCAAGGAACUUGUACAGAGCAUUGGUCCUCUGAAAGUACCCAGAAAUGAAGCAAAUUGAUCCUAUACAACAUACACCACAGUCACACCCUUAAGAGAAAGACAGAAUGAAAAAUUAAAAAAAAAAAAACUCCUUCCAAAUGAUAUCAAAUUCAACAAAAGAAGCAUCAAGUCUCUCAGAUGAGAAGAAACCAGCACAAGCACUCUGGCAAUACAAAAAGCCAGAAUUUUCCAUCACCUCCAAAGGAUUACACCAGCAAACUAGCAAUGAGUCCUAACCAGAAUGAAAUGUCUGAAAUGACUUGUAUAGUAUUCAGGAUAUAAGUGGCAAAAAAAUUCACCAAAAUCCAACAGAAAGUUGGAAUCCAACAACAACCCCAUAACAACGAUCCUGGAUUUGAAUGACAAGAUAGCUAUAUUGAAAAAGAACCAAGCAGAGCUUCUUGAAUUGAAAAAUUUACUAUAGGAAUUUCAAAAAGAGUUGGCAGCCUUAGCAACAGACUAGGCCAAAUAGAAGAACUAAUUUAAGAGCUCAAAGACCAGACCUUUGAAUCAACCCAGUCAGACAAAAAUAAAAAAGGAAUUUAAAAAUAAUGAACCACACUUUUGAGAAAUAUAGGAUUAUGUAAAGGAACAAAAUCUAUGACUUACUAUUGGCAUUUUUUUUUGAGACAGAAUCUCACACUGUUACCCAGUCUGUAGUGAAGUGGCAUGAUCUUGGCUCACUGAAACCUCCACCUCCUGGGUUCAAGCAAUUCUUGUGCCUCAGCCUCCCAAGUAUCUGAGAUUACAGGCGUAUGCCACCAUGCCUGGCUAAUUUUUGUAUUUUUAGUAGAGAUGAGGUUUUGCCAUGCUGGCCAGGUAGGUCUCAAACUUCUGGUCUCGGGUGAUACUCCCACUUUGGCCUCCCAAAGUGCUGGGAUGACUGGCAUGAGCCACUGUGCCUGGCUGACUUAUUGGCAUUUCUAACAGAGAAGAAGUGAAAGUAAGCAACUUGGAAAACAUUUUUGAGGAUAUAAUUCAGGAAAGUGUCCUCAAUCUUGCUAGAGAGUUCCACCAGCUGAUACAAGAAAUCCAGAGAACUCCCGUGAGACUGAAGGUAGGCAGUGAAGCAAAUGUUUGCAUUCUUGUGUGGCUCUGAUUAGCAUCAGGAUAUCUACAUUUUACAUGGGAAAGGAGGGAGCAGAGGAAACAGUUAAUUAUGCGUUCAUCUCACAUUCAGUAAAUCUUCAUUUUACAUAAGAUAAAGUAAGCAUGUGAAUAGAGGGAGUGGAGUAGAGGAAAAGCCAACGAUUCAUUCAUCUCAGGACAGGCAGAGGGAUGAUUUCUGGUCCUGACCUUGUCCCAGAACUAUGAAAAUAACCUGGUAAUUGAGACCGUCAGGGUGAAAUUGAGCCCACUCACUUUUAGGGCUAGUUUAUAGGUGGGAUGUGCAUUCUGAAAGAUUUAGGGGCUCACAGCAAAUUGUGAGGGAGGACAUCUGAGGAGACAUGCAGCCUUCUGUCACUGUGGGAACCUGGCUUAUGGAUGAGGCUAUGACACAGGGUUGUGAAGUUAUAGCUAUGUGUUUGAGAACAAGGAAGGCAGUAUUGCGUAACUCAGUUCCCAAGCUUAAUUUUCCCUUUGACACAGUGAGCUUGGGGUUGGGGUCUCUAUUCUCUUUUCUCUCACAAAAUCAUAUGGGAACAUUCCAGAAGAUGUGAGGUUCUGCGCUCACUAUUAAAUAAGAAUGACCAGGAGAGCCAUGGGUAAGCUCCCUCCUCAGUCAUCAGGACCGCAACAGAGAGUUUUCCCCUGUGUGGACAGGGUUCUGAAUUCUGCAGGAUCCCGUGGGGACACAAGUGUCAGGAUAGAGGCACUUCUUCAGCCAGGUACAGUGUCUCAUGCCUGUAAUGUCAGCUACACUGGAGGCUGAGGUCACCUUGAGGCCAGGAUUUCAAGACCAACCUGGGCAACAUAGCAAGAUCCCAUAUCUAAAAAUAAAAUUAGCCGGGUGUGAUGGCAUGCACCUGUAAUCCUAGUUACUUGGGAGGGAGGCUGAGGUGGGAGGAUUGCUUGAGCCUAGGCGUUGGAGACUACAACGAUCUAGGAUUACACCACUGCACUCCAGUCUCAGCAACAGUAAGACUCCGUAUGUAACAACAACCAACCAAUUCUGCGUUUUGAGUGUAAAUUACCAUAGCCUUUGUAACAGAAAUUAGGCAGCAACUCUCGUCAUUCAAAAUGCAUAAGCAAUUUGGCUAAGCAAUUGUACUUCUAGAUUAUUUAUUUAUUUAUUUAUUUAUUUAUUUAUUUAUUUAUUAUUGGGACAGAGUGAGACUCUGUCCCCCAGACUGGAGUCCAGUGACAUGAUCUCAGCUCACUGCAACCUCCGCCUCGUGGGUUCAGGCAAUUGCCCUACCUCAGCCUCCCGAGUAGCUGGGGCUACAAGUGCGCAUCACCAUACCCAGCUAAUUUUUGUAUUUUUUGUAGAAACGGGGUUUUGCCAUGUUGGCCAGGCUGGUCUCAAACUUCUGACCUCAGGUGAUCCACCCACCUCGACCUCCCAAAGUGCUGGGAUUACAGGCACUAGGUCCCUAAAUUAGAGCCAUAUUCUUUAAUGUCUGAAAGCACUCUUGCAUGUUUAUUACUGCAUUGUUUGAACUUAAAUGUCCACAACAGGAUAACAGGAUAAUUAAACAGUUAAUUGCACUAUGGCACAUCCAUCUGUUAACAAAAUGAAAUCGAUCUUUUUGUACUGUGGUGUAAAGAUUUUCUGGACAUAGUUCAGGUAAAAAAAAAAAAAAAGACCACUGUUGAAUAAUGCUUCCGGUAUAACACAAUGUGUUUGAAAAUGUACACAAUACACUGUAAUAUCCAACACAUACACCUAUCAAAGUAAAUAUAUUUUAUUCUAGGGUAAUUAUUAAAACAUUAAGAAAUACUCUUUAAUCAUAUAUGUUUAAACUUGUAG
rnacentral:lncRNA from 10 species